rnacentral:lncRNA from 1 species
UAAAACUUUAUACCAAUUUCAUCAAGUAAAAUGUACCAUAACUACCAAUGCCUUUAAUCAUUUCAUACACAACUCAAUUACACCAAAUGAAAGCAUUUAACUAACAUAACAAAGUCCAUUGCUAUUUCAUGCUAUCAUCUAAACAAAUACUUAAUACUAUCCAUGUCUUUGUCAUAAACAUCUAUAUGUUAAAUUACCAUAUGCAUUUAUUUACAUAUUUAUAUUCAUUCAAACUCAACCAUGCCAAACCAUAAACACAAGCUUUACAAUAUUGAAUCCUCCUAAGUACAUGUCACAAAUAACCAAGUUUGAAACAUCAAAAGUCUACCGAAUCGGGAGAUGAAAGGUGUAUGCUUCUCGUUGAUCCGGUCGACACGUUUCGAAUAGUUCAAGAUCUACAAAAAAGUAGUAACUUGAGUAAGUAUAUAAAAUACUUAGUAAGCUCAUAUAAUAUAACAAAUAACUUACCUUAACCAUUUAACAAUUGUAUGAAUCAAUAUGAAACAAAUUCACCUUUAAUAGCAUUCAAAACAUCAACCAUAUGAGAUUUAGUCCAAACCACAUAUAUAAUUUCAAAUGGUAAAGUACCAACUUUAACUCAAAAUUUAUCAUGAAUCCAUUUUCCAAUUUAUCACUUUGCAACUCUUUCAUCAUUAAAAUUUUCAUCAUAUGUCCUUGACAUAUUCAUUCAUAUCAUGACAUAGUUCAACAAUUUUGGGUCGAUAAGUAAUGAACAUACAGAUAUUCAGAGUUCGUAUUUUGCUUACUUCAGUGAAACAGUUUCAUAUCAAUUAAUUUUUAUUCUUUCGAUGGAUCUUUGUAAAAAUAUUCAAUACAUAAGUCCAAAAAUAGAUAAUGCUCAUAAGAGCUAAUUAGAUACAAAAUAAAUGUGUCAGGUUACUCGUCCGGGCUAAACCAGUGAUAAUACAAAAAAAUAGUCUGGCCAAGGCUAUGUAUACAUGUAAGGUUACCAGGCCAAGCUAAACCUUUAAAACGACAACGGAUUACCAGUCCAGGCUAAAUCUGAGUCACAUGUAUAUCCAAGUCUGCAACACAUGCUGGAGCUUAGUCUAGAACAUAAAUUCUGACAGAAAUCUCAUGUAUGAAACUUUUACUCGAUCUAUCAAAAUUAUUUUAGAAAUUCAAUAUUUUUCGCAUCAAUCAAUUUCAUUUCCGUAGUGUUAAAUAUACAUAUACAUAUAUAUAUCAUUAACAAAAUUUAACCAAAGAUAAGAGUAUGAACUUACCUAACAAAACGAUAAGGCUUUGGAUGCCAAGGAUUAUUCGGAAAAUUUUCAAUUUUUCACCUAAGUCACAACUUGAUCUAUAUAAUAGUUAAGAUUCAAAAUAUCAAUACCAAUCUCAUAAAAAAACUCAAAUUCAUGCAUAUAAUCUUUUGGUAUCAUUUUACACAAUUUUCUUGAACUUUUACAUUUUAUUCAAUUUAGUUCCAAAAAUUAAACUUAUCAUAACUUUCAAAUUUGGACUUCAAACUUUAAACCAAUUUCAAAUACAUUCAAUUACUGGCACCAAUUAUCAAAAUUUUCAGAAAUUACAAAUAAAUUUCAAGAUAUUAACAAUUUAGUCCUUAUGUUCAAAAUUAACAAAAACACUUUAUAAAAUAGUCCUUAAACAAUUCAUAGCUUCCAAAUCUACCAGUUUAUAUAAAAAAACAUCUAAGAUUCAUCAAUGACAAGUUUUAACAUCUUUAAUAGUUUUGAAAUCGAAAAUACGGGUUAGUUAAACUUAGUUGCAAUGAACUCAAAAACAUAAAAAAAAAAAAUACAAGAAACAAGAUUAAAAAUAGCAUACAUGCACAACUUGAAAGUUUGAAGCAAUUCGGCCAUGGCUCCUUUAGCUCUUUCUUCCUUUGAACCGUGAGAAACAAAAUGAGGUGGGGGAAGAUGACAAAUUGUUUUUAAUUCUUU